rnacentral:rRNA from 1 species
AACGAACGCUGGCGGCAUGCCUAACACAUGCAAGUCGAACGAGACCUUCGGGUCUAGUGGCGCACGGGUGCGUAACGCGUGGGAACCUGCCCUUAGGUUCGGAAUAACUCCCCGAAAGGGGUGCUAAUACCGGAUAAUGUCUUCGGACCAAAGAUUUAUCGCCUUUGGAUGGGCCCGCGUUGGAUUAGCUAGUUGGUAGGGUAAAAGCCUACCAAGGCGACGAUCCAUAGCUGGUCUGAGAGGAGGAUCAGCCACACUGGGACUGAGACACGGCCCAGACUCGUACGGGAGGGAGCAGUGGGGAAUAUUGGACAAGGGGCGAAAGCCUAAUCCAGCAAUGCCGCGUGAGUGAUGAAGGCCUUAGGGUUGUAAAACUCUUUUACCCGGGAUGAUAAUGACAGUACCGGGAGAAUAAGCGCCGGCUAACUCCGUG